GACGAACGCUGGCGGCGUGCCUAAUACAUGCAAGUAGAACGCUGAAGCUUGGUGCUUGCACCGAGCGGAUGAGUUGCGAACGGGUGAGUAACGCGUAGGUAACCUGCCCGGUAGCGGGGGAUAACUAUUGGAAACGAUAGCUAAUACCGCAUAAGAGUAGAUGUUGCAUGACAUUUGCUUAAAAGGUGCAAUUGCAUCACUACCAGAUGGACCUGCGUUGUAUUAGCUAGUUGGUGAGGUAACGGCUCACCAAGGCAACGAUACAUAGCCGACCUGAGAGGGUGAUCGGCCACACUGGGACUGAGACACGGCCCAGACUCCUACGGGAGGCAGCAGUAGGGAAUCUUCGGCAAUGGACGGAAGUCUGACCGAGCAACGCCGCGUGAGUGAAGAAGGUUUUCGGAUCGUAAAGCUCUGUUGUAAGAGAAGAACGAGUGUGAGAGUGGAAAGUUCACACUGUGACGGUAUCUUACCAGAAAGGGACGGCUAACUACGUG
rnacentral:rRNA from 1 species